GCCACGGUGGUCUAGCGGUUAGAACGCUGGCCUUGUAAUCCUGGGGUCUCGGGCUCGAUUCCCGGCGGUGCCC
rfam:Zootermopsis nevadensis contig27305, whole genome shotgun sequence.